GCUGGAGCACCAUAGUGGGGCAAGCCCCAGACCCCACUCCUCAGCAGGAGCUUGAGGGCUGGAUUAAAACUUCUGGAGGGCCGGAUGUGCCCCCCGGACCAUAGU